GCCCGUUUGGCGCAGUGGUUUAACGCGUUGCAACUACAGGUGCAAACAUCCCAGGUUCGAAUCCUGGAGCGGGCA